rnacentral:rRNA from 1 species
UACGUAGGGGGCAAGCGUUGUCCGGAUUUAUUGGGCGUAAAGAGCGUGUAGGCGGCCAUACAGGUCCGUUGUGAAAACUGGAGGCUUAACCUCCAGACGUCGAUGGAAACCGUAUGGCUAGAGUCCGGAAGAGGAGAGUGGAAUUCCUGGUGUAGCGGUGAAAUGCGCAGAUAUCAGGAAGAACACCCGUGGCGAAGGCGGCUCUCUGGGACGGUACUGACGCUGAGACGCGAAAGUGUGGGGAGCGAACAGG